CAGGGCUGGGGAAGGGCUGCUGGUACCUCGUGCCAGCCAGCCUCACCCGUGCCCGAGAUCAACGCCCCGGCGGGCUCCAUGCGGGGCCCAUCCUGUGCAGUAACAGGUGUGAGCAUUCAUGCAGCGUUUUGAUGGUCAUGUAUGAUACUGCACACACCA
rnacentral:snoRNA from 1 species